GACGAACGCUGGCGGCGUGCUUAACACAUGCAAGUCGAACGGAAAGGCCCUGCUGUUGUGGGGUGCUCGAGUGGCGAACGGGUGAGUAACACGUGAGUAACCUGCCCUUGACUUUGGGAUAACUUCAGGAAACUGGGGCUAAUACCGGAUAGGAGCUCCUGCUGCAUGGUGGGGGUUGGAAAGUUUCGGCGGUUGGGGAUGGACUCGCGGCUUAUCAGCUUGUUGGUGGGGUAGUGGCUUACCAAGGCUUUGACGGGUAGCCGGCCUGAGAGGGUGAACGGGCACCAUGGGACUAAGAUACGGACCAGUCUCCAACGGGAGGCAGCAGGGGGGAAUAUUGCACAAUGGGGGGAAGCGUAAUGCAGCAACGUCGCGUGCGGGAUGACGGCCUUCGGGGUGUAAACCGCUUUCGCCUGUGACGAAGCGUGAGUGACGGUAAUGGGUAAAGAAGCACCGGCUAACUACGUG
rnacentral:rRNA from 1 species